rnacentral:rRNA from 1 species
ACGGGAGGCAGCAGUGGGGAAUAUUGGACAAUGGGGGAAACCCUGAUCCAGCGACGCCGCGUGAGUGAAGAAGUAUUUCGGUAUGUAAAGCUCUAUCAGCAAGAAAGAAAAUGACGGUACUUGACUAAGAAGCCCCGGCUAACUACGUGCCAGCAGCCGCGGUAAUACGUAGGGGGCAAGCGUUAUCCGGAUUUACUGGGUGUAAAGGGAGCGUAGACGGCGAUGCAAGUCUGAAGUGAAAGCCCGGGGCUCAACCCCGGAACUGCUUUGGAAACUGUAUAGCUAGAGUGCAGGAGAGGUAUGUGGAAUUCCUAGUGUAGCGGUGAAAUGCGUAGAUAUUAGGAGGAACACCAGUGGCGAAGGCGACAUACUAGACUGUAACUGACGUUGAGGCUCGAAGGCGUGGGGAGCAAACAGGAUUAGAUACCCUGGUA